UUCCGGUUGAUCCUGCCGGACCCGACUGCUAUCAGAGUGGGACUAAGCCAUGCGAGUCAACAUAGCAAUAUGUGGCAUACGGCUCAGUAACACGUAGUCAACAUGCCCAGGGGACGUGGAUAACCUCGGGAAACUGAGGAUAAACCGCGAUAGGUCAUCACUUCUGGAAUGGGUAAUGACUUAAAUCUAUAUGGCCCCUGGAUUGGACUGCGGCCGAUCAGGCUGUUGGUGAGGUAAUGGCCCACCAAACCUGUAACCGGUACGGGCUCUGAGAGGAGGAGCCCGGAGAUGGGCACUGAGACAAGGGCCCAGGCCCUGUGGGGCGCAGCAGGCGCGAAACCUCUGCAAUAGGCGAAAGCUUGACAGGGUUACUCUGAGUGAUUUCCGUUAAGGAGAUCUUUUGGCACCUCUAAAAAUGGUGCAGAAUAAGGGGUGGGCAAGUCUGGUGUCAGCCGCCGCGGUAAUACCAGCACCCCGAGUGGUCGGGACGUUUAUUGGGCCUAAAGCAUCCGUAGCCGGUUCUACAAGUCUUCCGUUAAAUCCACCUGCUUAACAGAUGGGCUGCGGAAGAUACUAUAGAGCUAGGAGGCGGGAGAGGCAAGCGGUACUCGAUGGGUAGGGGUAAAAUCCGUUGAUCCAUUGAAGACCACCAGUGGCGAAGGCGGCUUGCCAGAACGCGCUCGACGGUGAGGGAUGAAAGCUGGGGGAGCAAACCGGAUUAGAUACCCGGGUAGUCCCAG
rnacentral:rRNA from 1 species